GUGCUCACUUCAGUAGCACAUAUACUAAAAUUGGAAUGAUACAGAGAAGAUUAGCAGUGGUAGAAAUGGUCCUGAGCAAGAUUCACACAAAUUCAUCAAGUGAUCAAAUAUGAAACC
rnacentral:snRNA from 1 species